UACGUAGGGGGCUAGCGUUGUCCGGAAUCAUUGGGCGUAAAGAGCGUGUAGGCGGCUAGAUAGGUCCGUUGUGAAAACUCGAGGCUCAACCUCGAGACGUCGAUGGAAACCAUCUGGCUAGAGUCCGGAAGAGGAGAGUGGAAUUCCUGGUGUAGCGGUGAAAUGACGCAGAUAUCAGGAAGAACACCCGUGGCGAAGGCGGCUCUCUGGUACGUGACUGACGCUGAGACGCGAAAGCGUGGGGAGCAAACAGG
rnacentral:rRNA from 1 species